rnacentral:rRNA from 1 species
UGCGGGUGCUAUCAUGCAGUCUAGCGGCAGAUGGGAGCUUGCUCCCUGAUGUUAGCGGCGGACGGGUGAGUAACACGUGGGUAACCUGCCUGUAAGACUGGGAUAACUCCGGGAAACCGGGGCUAAUACCGGAUGGUUGUUUGAACCGCAUGGUUCAGACAUAAAAGGUGGCUUCGGCUACCACUUACAGAUGGACCCGCGGCGCAUUAGCUAGUUGGUGAGGUAACGGCUCACCAAGGCGACGAUGCGUAGCCGACCUGAGAGGGUGAUCGGCCACACUGGGACUGAGACACGGCCCAGACUCCUACGGGAGGCAGCAGUAGGGAAUCUUCCGCAAUGGACGAAAGUCUGACGGAGCAACGCCGCGUGAGUGAUGAAGGUUUUCGGAUCGUAAAGCUCUGUUGUUACGGAAGAACAAGUGCCGUUCAAAUAGGGCGGCACCUUGACGGUACCUAACCAGAAAGCCACGGCUAACUACGUGCCAGCAGCCGCGGUAAUACGUAGGUGGCAAGCGUUGUCCGGAAUUAUUGGGCGUAAAGGGCUCGCAGGC